UCCUGGAUUUUUUUUUUUUUUUUUUUUUUUUUUUUUUUUUU
rnacentral:ribozyme from 1 species